UGGUUUACCUCAAUGACUUAACUGCCUCUCCUUUAGGUGUCAGUCAGCUAAGCUGGCCUUGGCGCUUUUGCAGCUAGACCACGUUGUGGCUUCUUGUCUACUCCUGAUGUCUUCUUCCUGCCGUGAUUGCUCCUGGGCUGGUUGGUCGACCACUUGACUCCUUCCACAACCCCAUUAGACUGGAGUGACUUGGGGUGUCAAACUCUACCAGGAGUGACUGGGGCACCUUCUCGGGCCCCUUGGGAGCUGGGGACCUGCCAUGUGGUCAGCUGAGAUGCAUCUGGCUGCCACGUUGCUUUCAUAGCUUGCCUGCCAGCCCCCCAGCUCUCUGGGUCACUCCUCUUCUGAUGUUGCCACCAUACUCGGCUCAGUUACCACGCUACUGGAGGUUACCAGCUCAGCCCACACUACUGGAGAUCUACAGGAUGAAAUGAAGGACUGAGAAUAUGAGUGGCUGGGAGAAGCACCAGGGAAAGAGGCAAGAU
rnacentral:lncRNA from 1 species